rnacentral:rRNA from 1 species
UACGGAGGGGGCUAGCGUUGUUCGGAAUUACUGGGCGUAAAGCGCGUGUAGGCGGGGCCGCAAGUCAGAUGUGAAAUCCCCGGGCUCAACCCGGGAACUGCAUCUGAAACUGCGGUCCUUGAGUACUGGAGAGGGUGGCGGAAUUCCUGGUGUAGAGGUGAAAUUCGUAGAUAUCAGGAGGAACACCGGUGGCGAAGGCGGCCACCUGGACAGUCACUGACGCUGAGACGCGAAAGCGUGGGGAGCAAACAGG